GCCCCCGUAGCUCAGGGGAUAGAGCAACGGUUUCCUAAACCGCAGGUCGGAGGUUCGAAUCCUCUCGGGGGCA
rnacentral:tRNA from 6 species